rnacentral:rRNA from 1 species
UACGUAGGCAGCAAGCGUUGUUCGGAGUUACUGGGCGUAAAGGGUGUGUAGGCGGUUUUUUAAGUUUGGUGUGAAAUCUCCCGGCUUAACCGGGAGGGUGCGCCGAAUACUGAGGGACUAGAGUACGGGAGAGGAAAGUGGAAUUCCUGGUGUAGCGGUGAAAUGCGUAGAUAUCAGGAGGAACACCGGUGGCGUAGACGGCUUUCUGGACCGUAACUGACGCUGAGACCCGAAAGCGUGGGUAGCAAACAGG